UUCGUGACUGUUAGUCUUCCCGCGACUCUUACUCAGUAACCCGACUUCUUCAUCAUCGGGUGGUGUUUGGGUUGGUAUGUCAAAUUGUAAAAAUCUUAGAUUCUCCGCAGUAGUAAUAGUAGAGGUAUCAGUGGUAAUUUUCUGUAGUUUCGGGUCUCGCCUAAUUUUUUUGGCAGACCGAAUUAAUUAUGUAAAAUGUAGCUAUUAAGAUAUUUUGUGGCUUUAAUAAUAUUAAUUUGAGAUGAGAUUUGUUUGAGUUGUGAGUGUCAGGCUUACUACGGGAUUCGGUGACCUUACGCCUACCCAUUCCCUAGUGCCGGUCACGGGCCUACAGAUGGGGUAGUGACAAAAAUCUCUCUUUAUUAAAAUAAACUUUGACUAUCUUGUUGUAACUUGCAUUAUUGAAUUAAUUUUUUUUAGAUUAUUGAGUUGAACAAUCUUAAUAAAUAUUUUAAAAAUAUGAGAGAGAACAACUUUGAUAUAUUAAUUCUUUAUUAAAAA
rnacentral:lncRNA from 1 species